CAACAGGGAUUGCCCUAGUAACGGCGAGUGAAGCGGCAACAGCUCAAAUUUGAAAUCUGGCUCUUUCAGGGUCCGAGUUGUAAUUUGCAGAGGGCGCUUUGGCUUUGGCAGCGGUCCAAGUUCCUUGGAACAGGACGUCACAGAGGGUGAGAAUCCCGUACGUGGUCGCUAGCUAUUGCCGUGUAAAGCCCCUUCGACGAGUCGAGUUGUUUGGGAAUGCAGCUCUAAAUGGGAGGUAAAUUUCUUCUAAAGCUAAAUACUGGCCAGAGACCGAUAGCGCACAAGUAGAGUGAUCGAAAGAUGAAAAGCACUUUGGAAAGAGAGUCAAACAGCACGUGAAAUUGUUGAAAGGGAAGCGCUUGCAGCCAGACUUGCUUGCAGUUGCUCAUCCGGGCUUUUGCCCGGUGCACUCUUCUGCAGGCAGGCCAGCAUCAGUUUGGGCGGUGGGAUAAAGGUCUCUGUCACGUACCUCUCUUCGGGGAGGCCUUAUAGGGGAGACGACAUACCACCAGCCUGGACUGAGGUCCGCGCAUUCGCUAGGAUGCUGGCGUAAUGGCUGUAAGCGGCCCGUCUUGAAACACGGACCAAGGAGUCUAACAUCUAUGCGAGUGUUUGGGUGUCAAGCCCGAACGCGUAAUGAAAGUGAACGGAGGUGGGAACCCGCAAGGGUGCACCAUCGACCGAUCCUGAUGUCUUCGGAAGGAUUUGAGUAAGAGCAUGGCUGUUGGGACCCGAAAGAUGGUGAACUAUGCUUGAAUAGGGUGAAGCCAGAGGAAACUCUGGUGGAGGCUCGCAGCGGUUCUGACGUGCAAAUCGAUCGUCAAAUUUGGGCAUAGGGGCGAAAGACUAAU
rnacentral:rRNA from 1 species